UACGUAGGCAGCAAGCGUUGUUCGGAGUUACUGGGCGUAAAGGGUGUGUAGGCGGUUCUUUAAGUUUGCUGUGAAAUCUCCCGGCCUAACCGGGAGGGUGCGGUGAAUACUGAGGGACUAGAGUACGGGAGAGGAAAGUGGAAUUCCUGGUGUAGCGGUGAAAUGCGUAGAUAUCAGGAGGAACACCGGUGGUGUAGACGGCUUUCUGGACCGUAACUGACGCUGAGACACGAAAGCGUGGGUAGCAAACAGG
rnacentral:rRNA from 1 species